CCGCCUCUAGCUCAAUCGGUAGAGCAACCGCCUUUUAAGCGGUAGGUUCCGGGAUCGUUCCCCGGGGGGCGGA
rnacentral:tRNA from 1 species